rnacentral:misc_RNA from 1 species
UUUUAAAAAUCCCAAUUUCCAUCCGCAUUCACCUAUCCAUCAACUUAUAUACAUAACGACAAAUUCAUUCUUAUGUCCAGCAUCAAUUUGCAACCCAUAUUUGUAACUCUUUAAGUAUAACCUAAAAAUGAAGAAUUCAGUAUCAACCUUCCCUUGUUCAAGAAAUCGACUGAAGCAAAUCCUCCUCUACAUGGUCUGCAUUUAGAGAGAAAAUGUCAACAGGAGCAGUAGUGCAGCCAACGGGAUUCUGCUUCAAUCUACCAUUUACAGGGCCUUUCUGGUGAUCAAGAUAAAUUACUAUCACAGUGAUAUCAUCAUGAAAGUGACGCCUUAUUCCCCUGUCAAUUUUCUUUAUAUCAUCAU